GACGAACGCUGGCGGCGUGCCUAAUACAUGCAAGUAGAACGCUGAAGGAGGAGCUUGCUCUUCUGGAUGAGUUGCGAACGGGUGAGUAACGCGUAGGUAACCUGCCUGGUAGCGGGGGAUAACUAUUGGAAACGAUAGCUAAUACCGCAUAACAUUGACUAUUGCAUGAUAGUCAAUUGAAAGGUGCAAAUGCACCACUACCAGAUGGACCUGCGUUGUAUUAGCUAGUUGGUGGGGUAACGGCUCACCAAGGCUACGAUACAUAGCCGACCUGAGAGGGUGAUCGGCCACACUGGGACUGAGACACGGCCCAGACUCCUACGGGAGGCAGCAGUAGGGAAUCUUCGGCAAUGGACGGAAGUCUGACCGAGCAACGCCGCGUGAGUGAAGAAGGUUUUCGGAUCGUAAAAGCUCUG
rnacentral:rRNA from 1 species